AUACCUUUCUCGGCCUUUUGGCUAAGAUCAAGUGUAGUAUCUGUUCUUAUCAGUUUAAUAUCUGAUACGUGGACCAAUGGUCCACACGAUAUUAAAUUAAUUUUUAUAAGGGGUGGGUUCACUACAGUAGCUUGCUACUGGAACUCACAAGUGUCAUCUUUGUAUUGCACUACUGCAAAGCUUGGCGCACCCUAC